rnacentral:lncRNA from 1 species
AGACCACCAACCCACAACAAAGUAUAAUCUAUCAUCAAACAUAAACAAAGUAUAAUCUAUUUGAGAUUCAAUAAUCUAUCAAAAAUGACAUAAUCAAAGUAUAAUAGGCAUUUCAUCGAGCACGUAAUGUUCCAUUUAUAAUAUAGAAACUUGAUACAAAAUAAAUAUUCAUCAAAUUGCUAAAAUUCUUAGCAACUUGAUAAAAAAAAUAAAUACAACAUAUUCUAGGAGGCAUUUCAAUAAACACCUCAUACACUAUUCUUAUCAAAUCCCAAUUUCAUUAAAUAUUUUUCAAACUUCAUAGAGAAUUAAUCCUAAUGCCCAUCUAUCAUGAAAUAUACACCCAAUUACAUUCUUAUAAGUUCAAUCUUAAGAAAAAAAUUGCUUCGAUGUCAAAAUCGUUGAGAAAAACUAUUGUACAAUUGCUAAAAAUGGAGCCCCAUCCUAUCGGAGUUGAUGUUACCCUCAAACUUCCAAGCCGUUGUUAAUUAUUGCCCCAAAAAAAACUGACUCUGUUGGGACCAAACACCAAUUUUGGGAGAGAAGAGAAUCUAAGUUUGAAAUGGAUCUAAAUAGCAAGGGUUGUUUGGUUAAAAAAAGGAUUAAUUGGCUAAGUGAUAAUUUUAUGAAAUGAGAGUUAUCAUGACGCUUUUAUACUUAAAUCAAGAUUACUUAAAGAGUAAAAUAUAUGUUUUUAUUGCAUUUUAACUAUAUUUUGCAUGAACAUUCAUUUUAGUUUAUUUUUAAUAAAUUGAGUUGUUUUAAAAUAAUUUGUGCUUAGAUUAUAUGCAUAAUUGUAGGUGAUUGAAAAGCUCAAGUUUUAAGGAAGGAAAAUUGCUGCAACAGACUCGUAGAGACAAUGAAAGAACUUGGCUAUAGAAGAAUUGAAAUAAAUCUAGAACAGUGCAGUUGCUGUAGCCGUUGUUGUAGCAAUCCUGGAGCAAUAAAAGAUUGGAUUUCGCACGCCACAACUAAAAGAUGGCGAUCUAAAAUUUCCAAAAAUGGAGGAUACGCGCCACAUACUUUUGGUUGUUCUAAUUUUGAGUUAUAAAAGGAGCACACUUGCAAAGGAAAAAAAAGGAAGAACCGUCACUCAAGGAAAAAAACACAAUUUUAUUUGUGUUUUUUAUUUAUUUAUGGGAAUGUAUUUGAUAGCUGAAACAAUUUUAUUUGCUCUUCUAUCGCAAAUCAUGAACUAAAUUUUAUUGUGGUUGAGUGAUAAAUGAUCUUAAUAGAUGUUUGACUGACAUAUGCGUGUUGUUUUGUGUUUGCUAUAUCAUUUUGUCUUAUUUCAAUUCUUUAUUUCGGUUGACCGCCCAUUUAGUGGAUACUAGCUAAGAAAAAACUAAAAAAAGUCUGACUUAGUGGAUCAAAUUAAGACAAUACUUGAUUUUAGAUUGGAUUUUCCCAAGUUGAGCAAAUCUCAAUUUGAAUACAGCUAUGUUUUAUUUAAAAUUAAUGAUGAACUAGACUACUUGAUUUUAGAUUGGGUUUUCCCAAGUUGAGCGAAUCUCAAUUUGAAUACAGCUAUGCUUUAUUUAAAAUUAAUGAUGAACUAGACAUAAGGAUUCACUUUGUAGGGUAAAUGGAACCUAGAACGUUUAAUGUCAUAUUUAAUGUAGGCAUAACAAUUGGUCAUUGUUAAGUUGCAUUAUAUAUAAGAUAUCCAAUAAACGACAACUAAUGAUGCAUGAGGGAUUCUGUCCAGUACUAUAGUAGAUACUGUAACAACGGUAUUGUAAUCGAAAAAAUAGUCAGAGUCAUUAAAUGAGUUUAUUCACUCAACUACUCUAUUUCCAUUGGUUACAUCCUUAUAUUUGACGUGAGAAUUUUUUUUAUUGCAUUUAUUUUAUUUCAUUUUUAUUUUAAUUAGUUUAUUAGUUUCAUAAAUUGUCUUAUUUUAAUUUAGAACAAAAUUGCAGUGUUAAGGUUGCUGUAACCAAUAUGAUAAUAUCAAUAUCUGUGAAGACGAUUUAAAUACUCAUCAGUAUAUUACUUAUUGUGUACACUUACACAUUGACACUCAUAGCAUUAGAAAUUGCACACCACUAAGUAAUGAGAGAAAAGCUUAAGGUGGGUAACUUUGAAUACUACAAAAUCUUUUAGGUCAUUUUUGUAAUUUUCCUUCUUUAUUCAAAUGAUUCAGCAAAAAGUUUUUUUAAAUGAGUUUAUCAUAAUCUCAUCAGUUAUUAUAUAACCAUAUUAAACAAUAAUAUGCAUAAAUAAGCUUUAAAUAUAUUAUCCAUAUACGAAAACUGAUAUGUUUAUUAAACAAGACUUGUUGAAAUAUUUUUUUAGGUAUUUAGAUCUAUUUAUUUAUUUAAAUUUUAACAGUAUGCUGCUCCGUAUCAUGUUCUUUACACAUCUAAAUCAAGCAGGAAAGCAUAAAUUCAUUCUAGAUUUUAUGCAUUUGUUAUUCGAUCUAGUUUUCUCCCAAAUCAUCAAACAUAAAGUUUCAUAUUUAAAAACAAUCACUUUGAUAAAAAGUUGUAAUAUAAGCAUAUGAGAAUGCAAAAUCACUCGAAAGUGUAAAGUCAUUUAAUAAAUAUUUCAGAAAAAGGAAAAAAAAGAAAAAAGAAAGUACUGCAAGAAGAGACUAAAGAAUUAGUGUUUGCACUGACAUGCAUUCUUCCAUUACAAACACAGCUAAUUAACUCUUCCGACUUUGUAAUGCGGAAAAGGAACAUAAACUACUUGAAUUACAUUAACCACUUGGGUCUUUUAUAUGAAAAUAUAGAAACUAGUUGAGACUAACUUCAUUCUUCACAAGUCUACAGCGACUCAAACAUAGAUGCAUUUUUCUCCACCAUUUUUGUAAGAAAGUUCAAUGACCUUUGAUGCCUCGUUAUCUUGAAUGCAACCAAUCCAUAAGCUUAUAAAAUAUGACCAUAUUUGGCUCCACACCAUUUGCUUUCGCGUUGUUGUAUGUCACGACAUCUAGUAUUAAGCCUUCAUUAGGCAAUCUAUGGUAUAGUUCAUAAACAAACUUCUAGUCUAUCUAUAAGGGAACUGCAAGUUUCAAUACUAAGUUCACACUUGCAGUUUCUUAUGUCAAUAUAAUUCUACCGCCUCAAGAAUGUAAUCAUUCUACUCUGACUGAGAAUGUAGCCAUUCUACUUGCACUUAAAAUUUUCCUGUAAAGACUUAUAUCUUCCUCUAGAAUUUGAUUCGUGUAGUACCCAUUUAUCAAAAUAACAGUACUUGUCCACUUUUCCAAAGCUAAACAUUUUCUUGAUCUGAUUAUACGUAGUCGAAAAGUACAAGAACAGUCUGAAAAACUUAAUUAAGUGGCGGUAAGAGAUACUUAACACUAAAUUAAUUAUGUGGCGGUGAGAGAUAAUUAACACUAAAAUCGAUUAUUUGACAGCAGCCAAAAGAUCCGAAAGCAGUCCUAAAAGAUAAGAGUUGCUUAAAUUCCACCAAUCGAUCAUGAUAAGCAUACCACAAUUGAAUUUUAAGAAUUUUAACACCACCAUUUGUGAUGAAAAUAGACGUCCGUCAAGCAAAACCCAUCCAUUAUCAACAUGUAAUAAGCUCUUACUUGCUUUGUCUAUCUUUCCAUUCACUUUAAAAUCUGUAAUAACAGACCGCACACCUUUUCUUUUGUCCUAUGUAAACACCCAGCCUGAGAAAAAUGCAGCCAUAAGUAAAGAUAUUAGGUUCACAGAGCCAUUUAUUCAAUCGCUCAAUAGCAACAAGUGCAUGGCUUGUCCACCAUAAUCCAUAGAUCAACGUAGUAUGUGUAAUCACAUUAGGCUUACAACAAAGCAUAGUCAUAAUUUAAUUUCUAAAACAACCUGGUGGCCUCCACAAUUCUACGUUACACACUCAAUCUUUUAAUCAAAGUAUUCAAAACAAACAGCCAUAAUUAACCAUAAUGCAGCAACUAAUCAAAAUAUUUAACCCAAUAAAAUCUGCCAACAACGCAAUUGAAUUUAUUUUAUUUUAUUUUUCAAAAAAGAGACACAAAGGAUAUUGCUUAGAAUACAGCUGCUGGCCGUGAGUAAAAUAAUUACCUGAAUCACAAGCGUCACUGGGGAAUUUUUCAAGUGAGGUUCAGUCUUUGACUGCGAGUAGGGAAUUAUUUCGAUUUUUUUUUUGAAAUUUGAAGUUGUGGGUUUCCGAGAGUGAGUGAAUCUUAAAGCAAUUUUUGAAGCAGAAGAAAAUAAACAAUUUGAGAAUUUGGAAUCCAUGGGAGAAUUUCUUUUUUGAGGAUUUCGGCGUAGUACUUAGGUUUCUCAGUUUUUGAUAUACAUGUGUGUAACUUUUGAAUUUAUACUGAAGUCCUUGUUUGGAGAAAUAUCAACGAAGUCCUGUGAUUUUAACAUUUGCAGUUAUCAAUAAGUCCCAUAUGAAUAGUGAUUUCAUAUAUUUGUAGUUAUUUAUAAUUGAAAUAACUUUCAUAUCAACAUAUCUUCUGCCCCUAUUAAAAGAAAAGAAAAGAAAAGAAAACAUAUCUUGUGCCCUUUUUUUUAUUUAUAGUAAUUUAAGAACAUAUACUCCCACCAAUAGCUAUACAGAAGAUACCAAUUUGAGUUUACCUAUCCAAACUGUAUUUUCCUCUUGGAAUUGUAGGAUGGGGAUAAAUAUUAUCUUAUACACACACACACACACACACACACACACACGAGGUAUAUGUCUCCUCAUUACUUUUGGCCGUUUUGAUUUUUAGGGAAUGGUUUUGAUGUAUAUCUAUGGUUCGUGUCCAUCUCUCACUUUAGUAAAUAUCUCUUUCCCAACUUAAUUCUUCCAAUUCAUAAGACUCACUAUUUUCCAUACUAUCGUUACCGGUUAGUUAUUUUCUCCAUUGUUUACAAAAUAAUUAUUAUACACCUACUUUUUUUUUUAGGAGAAUUAUAUACCUACCAUUUUAGAACUAAGGAGAGUUCGUGUCACUGAAUUUAAGGUUUUUAAAAUUUUUUAUGAUUUUGGAGAGAAGUCCAAUAUUUUAUAUAUGUUUUUAUGUGCCUUUGAACUAAUUUAUUGUAUCGUUACGUGAAGAGCUUUCAAAAAUAUUAUUCAGAAUCUUCAUAUUUUUCAAUUGUAGUCUUAUAAUUGUUAAUGUCCAAAAAUAUUCAAAAACUGUUUUGAAAUUUAACAAUUGAUACAAUUAAAUUCGUCGUGGAAAUAAUAUAAAGAAUUAAUUUUAACUCUUUUUUUUUUUUUAAAGUUUAACUCUUAAAAUUUCCAAGUACACUUGUUUUGAUGGGAUUUUCACGUGCCCACGUGUUGCCUCUAAUUGGUUGGGCACGCUCUUUUUGGUCAGUAUUGAAUUUGGGCCGGAUUUUUGUUGACUUGGGCUUGAGGUGGUCUGCUAACUCAUCAUUUCUAUUAGUAGUUCGCAGAGAAAGGUCCACAAUUUAUCUGGGCACUGAUAUCGCCUCAAUAAAGUCGUGUUGAAGCUUUGACAGUUGUUGACUUCCUAGAUAGUCCGAAUAUGAGCUUAAAAAGUAAAGACACCCUCUGUAGAUGGUGGUGUGGGUGCAUGUUAUACCAACGAAUAAUGGAGAACCAAGGGUUUUAUACACUGUCUUGGAAUUUGAUACUUCGAGAAACCUACGGAAAAAUCUUUUAAGUGCGAAAUAGACUUUAUCGAUGGGAUUUUAAGAAGUAGAUACCCUAUAGAUUGUGCAUAUAGGGCAUGUUUGGCAUGCAGCAUUACACUGUAUUAGAACCCAGCAUUGCAUUAAGGCUGUGUUUAUUUGCUGGAGUGGGAGUGAGGAGUGUGGAUUCCUCCCACUCUAGCGUUUACUUACCUUAAAAAAGAAGGUAGUGGGAGUGGGAAUCCGUGAGUCCCACCCAAUUUUAGAGUGGGGAGUGGGAUUCCCACUCCCAUGGGGGGAGGUGGGAGUGAGAAUCCACUCCCCCUCUUCCCAUUUUAUCCUUAUAAAAAUAAAUAAAUAAAUAAUA